CCUGGCUCAGAUUGAACGCUGGCGGAAUGCUUUACACAUGCAAGUCGAACGGCAGCACGGGGCAACCUGGUGGCGAGUGGCGAACGGGUGAGUAAUACAUCGGAACGUGCCCAGUCGUGGGGGAUAACGUAGCGAAAGCUACGCUAAUACCGCAUACGAUCUACGGAUGAAAGCGGGGGACUCGCAAGAGCCUCGCGCGAUUGGAGCGGCCGAUGGCAGAUUAGGUAGUUGGUGGGGUAAAGGCUCACCAAGCCUGCGAUCUGUAGCUGGUCUGAGAGGACGACCAGCCACACUGGGACUGAGACACGGCCCAGACUCCUACGGGAGGCAGCAGUAGGGAAUCUUCCGCAAUGGACGAAAGUCUGACGGAGCAACGCCGCGUGAGUGAUGAAGGUUUUCGGAUCGUAAAACUCUGUUGUUAGGGAAGAACAAGUGCCGUUCGAAAGGGCGGCACCUUGACGGUACCUAACGAGAAAGCCACGGCUAACUACGUG
rnacentral:rRNA from 1 species